rnacentral:rRNA from 1 species
GCUUAGCCCUAAACUUAAAUAAUUAAUUAACAAAAUUAUUCGCCAGAGAACUACUAGCUACUGCUUAAAACUCAAAGGACUUGGCGGUGCUCUAUACCCAUCUAGAGGAGCCUGUUCUAUAAUCGAUAAACCCCGAUAAACCUCACCCCUUUUUGCUAAUACAGCCUAUAUACCGCCAUCGUCAGCCCACCUCAACAGAGAACCAAAGUAAGCAAAACUAUUACCAUAAAAACGUUAGGUCAAGGUGUAGCAUAUAAAGGGGAAAGUAAUGGGCUACAUUUUCUAUCACAGAACAUAACGAAAUACCUCUUGAAAUCUGAGAUAUCGAAGGAGGAUUUAGUAGUAAAUUAAGAAUAGAGAGCUUAAUUGAACCUGGCAACAGAGCGCGC